AGAGAGAGACAUGCGCGCAUAUCAAUAAGCGGAGGAAAAGAGACUAACAAGGAUUCCCUUAGUAACGGCGAGUGAAGCGGGAAGAGCUCAAAUUUGAAAUCUUCAAGGUUCUACCUUGACGAAUUGUAGUUUAUAGAAGUGUUUUCUGUUAGUGGAGUGGCAAAAGUUCUUUGGAAUAGGACAUCAUAGAGGGUGAGAAUCCCGUAUUUGGUCAUUCCUCCUAGCGUUGUGAUACACUUUCAACGAGUCGGAUUGUUUGGGAAUGCAGUCCAAAAUGGGUGGUAAAUUUCAUCUAAAGCUAAAUAUUGGCGAGAGACCGAUAGCGAACAAGUACCAUGAGGGAAAGAUGAAAAGAACUUUGAAAAGAGAGUUAAACAGUACGUGAAAUUGUCAAAAGGGAAGCGUUUGACACCAGUGUUGUUUUUCCGAAAAUCAAUUACGAAUGUUUUGUUUUUGAGGAGUUAUGACUUCAUCGGCUUGCUCCUUUCUUUACGAAACUUUCUUAAUGCACUUUUCGGUUAACAAGUCAACAUCAAUUUCUUUUGUUGUAAAAGGGUAUGAGGAAGGUGGCUUUCUUUUCGGAGAAAGUGUUUAUAGCCUUGUGCCUCUGCAAUCGGAGAGAUUGAGGUCUGCAGCGUAGAUCCCUCGGGGUUAGAUACGUUUGUGCUAAGUUAUAGCUUUUCAUAGACAACUUGUUGACUGUGUUUAGUCUUGUAGCUUACUCGCUGACGCUAUUUUACCUACGCUUAGGAUGUUGAUAGUCACAGCGUGUAC
rnacentral:rRNA from 1 species